rnacentral:lncRNA from 1 species
AAAGCAGUUCGGCCCUCGUCAAGUUUAAACGGAGGAGGUGAAAUGCCCCGUCCGGCCGUGUUAAGGUGAAAGCGGCGCCGCCAUUUUGAAAGAGGGCGGGCGGAAGUUGCGGUACGUAAGAAGGUUCUAACGGAAUAAACACACUAUGAGGUAAUUCUAAUAUCGUGUCGUAAUAAGAUGUAUAUUAUAACACAUAUUAUAUAUAACACAUAUUAUAUAUAUAUAUAUAUAUAAUACACACACAGACACACAUAUAUAUAUAUAUAUAUUUGUGUGUGUGAAUGUCAUUUGUUUUUUCACCUCAGGGUUUUCUCCUCAGAAAUUGUUAGUUUUGCGACUGUUACUAUAUUCCAUACACAGAACUGUAUUCGGAGUAUAGUACGCAGUAUCGUACGUUAAUUGUACGCAACAGGAAGCGAUAAGGUCGAAAUGGCGGUUAGUUGGGGACGUCACUUCCGGUACCAUCUCGAGCGUGGCGUGUCCAUUCCCUCCCAAUACAAAACACACGGCGAGGGAGAGAAAGCGGCGCUCCUUGCGCGCAAGAGAGAAAAAGGCCAGAAACGCGGGCAAAUCAGCGUCGGCGUAGCUCCACCACGUCCCUCCCCUCCCUCCUGAUUGGGUCACUUGCUCUCCAGCAUUCGAAAAAGACAGGACUCUGUUUCCCCCAGAUUUAGCAGGAGGGUGAAUUUGGGAUACAGUAUAUGCACAUAUACCUUUUAAUGAGGGUGAAAGAGGAGAGCGCAAAAUAUGGUUUGAAGCUCAGCAUCAAAAAAGCUAAGAUCAUGGCCACUGGUCCCAUCACCUCCUGGCAGAUAGAAAGGGAAGAAAUGGAGGCAGUGAGGGAUUUUACUUUCUUGGGCUCCAUGAUCACUGCAGAUGGUGACAGCAGCCACAAAAUUAAAAGAUGCCUGCUUCUUGGGAGAAAGGCAAUGACAAACCUAGACAGCAUCUUAAAAAGCAGAGACAUCACCUUGCCAACAAAGGUCCGUAUAGUUAAAGCUAUGGUUUUCCCAGUAGUGGUGGAUGGAAGUGAGAGCUGGACCAUAAAGAAGGCUGAUCGCCAAAGAAUGGAUGCUUUUGAAUUCUGGUGCUGGAGGAGACUCUUGAGAGUCCCAUGGACUGCAAAAAGAUCCAACCUCUCCAUUCUGAAGGAAAUCAGCCCUGAGUGCUCACUGGAAGGACAAAUCCUGAAGCUGAGGCUACAAUACCUUGGCCACCUCAUGAGAAGAGAAGACUCCCUGGAAGAGACCCUGAUGUUGGGAAAGAUGGAGGGCACAAGGAGAAGGGGACGACAGAGGACGAGAUGGUGGGACAGUGUUCUCGAAGCUACCAGCAUGAGUUUGACCAAACUGCGGGAGGCAGUGGAAGACAGGAGUGCCUGGCGUGCUCUGGUCCAGGGGGUCACGAAGAGUCGGAUGCAACUAAACGACUAAACAACAACAAUACAUUUAAAGCACGAAUUUCCAUCCACCCCAAAUCUUGGCAAAUUUAGUUUAUCCCUUGCUGAGCUACAAUUCCCAGCACCCUUUACAAACUACAGUUCCCAAGAUAACUUUGAGGGAGCUAUGCAUAGCUGUCUACAUUUCCCUUUUUUAAAGGGAAAUUCCCUUAUUCCAAAUAGGAUUCCUCGCAAGAAAAGGGAAAAGUUGACAGCUAUGGAGCUAUGGGCUUUAAAAUGUUUGCCGUGUUGCACUCCCAUUGAAAAACAGCAAGAUUCUAGUCCUCAUGGUGAGUUUUGCCUUUUGUGCAGAAGGCUAGUCUCAAAACGCACUCCCACUUCCAUUUUCUUCUUCGCAUUUUUACCCCACCUUUCUCUCUAAGGAGCUCAUGGUGAUGUGCCCACUUCUCCCUAGCUCCUCCUUUCAUCCCAAAACCAGAGAGACAUCACCCAGAUUACACAGCUAACAAUCAAUAUAUUUCCCCCGUUUAGCACAAACACUUGGCUUGCGUGAGCAGCAUAACAUGAAGAGGGCACAGAAAAUGUACAGAAUGGGCAUAACAGUAGUUCCCCAAAGCCCAUCGUAAGUUGGGCUUUCACAAAUGGGACAUAUUUGGGCCUGAGGCAGAGAUGUCCAAACUUUUUUCAAAGAGGGCCAGAUUUGAUGAAGUGAAGGGCCGUGAGGGCCGGCCAAAUUUGUUGACCUUUUUUUACGAUUGAAGUUGCUGAGCUUUCUUUAUGAUUUUACCCCAAAGUUAUUGAGCUUUUUAGGAUUGAAGUUGUUGAGGGUUUGUUUUUUUUAGGAUUUUAUCCCAAGAAAUAAACUGCCACAGGGGUCGGAUUGAACCGACCGGCGGGCUGGAUUAGGCCCCUGAAACGGACUUUGGACAUGCCUGGCCUAAAGUGAGUCACACCUUCCUGUGCGGGGGGUGGGGUGGGGGUGGUCCUGAUUCUAGGGACAUACGACAGAUGGAAAAAUAGGAGUGAGGAUCUUCCAUAUGACAUAUUUACUAAGAAUUCAUCCUGGCUUCUUUGCAGGGAGACUAGACGACAUUGGCUAUUUAUAAAGGAUUCAUUCCGAUGUUUUUGCAGGGAGGUUAGAUGAUGUGUCGAAGCAGAUGUCAUCCCACAAUUUUGCAGUGUAUUUCCCAUCUCUUUCAAUUCCCUCAAAAGUUCGCUCUUUUAGGGAGGCGGGCUUGUUACUGCAGAGCUCACCAUCAUCCCCUAAUUGUGCAAUCUGGAUUUGAAAAUAUGUGAUUGAUUCCCGCCAACAAACAGUGACAGUCUGGAAACACACACACACAUUUUAUCCGCCGUAUCAGAAUGAUGCUUCCAGUUUAUCUUUCUGGGUGGUAGUAGCAAUGACAGAACUGAAUUACAUGAAGCUGAAGACGAAUUUAAGAGCAGCUAUGAGGCUGUCUCAGGGAGAGCGGUCGGGAGCAGAAGGCUCAUCCCAUCAGCUUUGCAGAAAGACGAGCUCCACUAGGCAGCCAUGAAUUGUUUACUUGCCAGUUGGCCUGAUUUUUGUUUUUCCUCCUCCCUCUGUGGCCUUUUACCCUUGUAUGUUGUAGUUAUGUUUUGUUUUUUGUUUUAAAAAGAUUAUAAGCCUGUGGGCACCGGGGACUCUUGUUUCAAUUGAUAGUGUGUAAACCACUCUGGGAGACUUUGGGGCUGAAAAUCCCAGUGGCAAAUGCCGUAAAUAAAUAAAUGAAUCGACAAACAAAUAUAUUUUCCCCAGCAGCAGAAAACCAGGUGCUUCUGGGAAGUCCACAAACAG